GAUGAACGCUGGCGGCGUGCCUAAUACAUGCAAGUCGAACGAAGCGGGGAGGGGUGUGUAACACGUGGAUAACCUCCUAUAAGACUGGGUUAACUUCGGGGAACCGGUGACAAUACGGAUAAUUAGAGAUGGUUCGGCGCUGCAUUAGCUAGUUGGUAAGGUAACGGCUUACCAAGGCAACGAUGCAUAGCCGACGUGAGAGGAUGAUCAGCCACACUGGAACUGAGACACGGUCCAGACUCCUACGGGAGGCAGCAGUAGGGAAUCUUCCGCAAUGGGCGAAAGCCUGACGGAGCAACGCCGCGUGAAUGAUGAAGGCCUUCGGAUCGUAAAGCUCUGUCAGUAGGGAAGCGGUACCCAAACAGAAAGCCCCGGCUAACUACGUGCCAGCAGCCGCGGUAAUUC
rnacentral:rRNA from 1 species